rnacentral:rRNA from 1 species
AUGCAGCCAGAGAUGGAGGAUGAUUGCACCUACAGUAUUCCAGACAAGAAAGAAAUAUGGGAAACUCUCAAAGCAAUGAGAAGAAAUGCAUCACCUGGACCAGAUGGAUUCAAUGUGGAAUUUUACCUUGGAACAUGGGACUCGAUUGGAGAAGAUACAACGAAAUUGGUAAGAGAUUUCUAUAUGACUUGUUUUCUUCCUGCCCAUCUAAAUGAUACUCAUAUUACUCUCAUUCCAAAGAAGUUGUCACCAAUUGUUCCUCAAGAUUUUAGACCUAUUAGCUUAUGCAAUGUCAUUUAUAAAAUUAUAGCAAAAACCCUAGCUAAUAGGCUUAAAUCUCAUUUACCGGAUUACAUUCAUCAAACCCAGCAAGCUUUUAUUGAAGGCAGGAGGAUAAGCAACAAUAUCAUCAUUGCCCAGGAAAUUACUCAUUCUUUCACCCUUAAAUACUGGAAGGAUCCAGCUUUCAUGAUUAAAAUUGACUUAGCAAAAGCUUUUGAUAGAAUUGAAUGGAACUUUAUAAUGAGAGCUCUUAAUCGUAAAGGCUUACAUGGUCAUUUCAUAAACUUGAUUCAUGCUUGCAUUGCUGCUCCUAUAUUUUCGGUUAUCAUAAAUGGUCAAUCUUAUGGGCGUUUUCAAAGCAACCGAGGUAUAAGACAAGGUUGUCCUUUAUCUCCAUACUUAUUUGUCCUGGCUAUCAAUGAACUGUCUAUAUCCCUGCAAGAGGCUAUGUGCUCCAACUAUUUAACAGGGAUCUCUCUAGGGCCAGGAUGUCCUCCGAUCCAUUCUCUUAUGUUUGCUGACGAUUUGUUAAUAUGUGGACAAGCUACCAUUGUUGAGGCUACUCACAUGUAUAAUAUUCUUCAAAACUUUUGCGAUCUCUCUGGUCAAACUCCCAAUUGGAGCAAAUCGGGUAUAAUUUUCAGCCAAAAUGUUAGCAACACCACUAAAGAGGACAUUAAGAGGAUUUUUCCUGUAAUAGAUAUAAAUGAAAACUCAGUGCACUUAGGACACCCCUUAAUCCUCCCUGCUAAAGACAGAUCUGCUGCUUAUGAUUUUGUAGCCGAUAAAUUUCGUACUAAACUUACAGGCUAUAAAGCAAACAAACUUUCCCAUGCAGCAAGACUUACUCUCAUUACUUCUGUCUUUGCAUCAAUUCUUGUAUAUUACAUGUCUAAUAUCCUUUUUUCAAGGAAAUUGGUUGCAAAACUGACAGCCAUUAUAAGGAAUUUUUGGUGGACGGGAAUAAAAGAAGAGCCAACAACAAAAAUUAUUUGUCUCAGGGCUUGGAAGGACAUUUGUAUUCCAAAGUGUGAAGGAGGUUUAGGUAUUCGAAAUAUCCAAGCAAUGAAUAGAGGACUCAUUCUCUCAGCAGCUUGGAGAAUAGCAGAAAAUCCAGACAGCUUCUUGUUCAAAGUCCUAAAAUCCAAAUACCACCCAGACACUUCUAUAUGGAGGGCGAACUCCAGCAUCCCAAAAUCUGCCUUUUGGUCUUCUAUCUUAAAAGUUCACCAUAUCCUAUGCUCCAACUCCUUCAUUCAAAUCUUAGAUGGAAAUUCUUCAAUCUGGAGCACUCCUUGGUUCUCUCAUUGGCAAUCCAUUUAUGACCAUCUCAUAAUCCAGCCAAGGCACUAUAAUUAUCCGUCUCAAGUUAAAGAUCUCUGGAUUCCAGAUCAAAAGGCUUGGAAUGCUAAUCUAAUAUAUGGCCUUUUUGACCAACAAAUAGCUGAUAGUAUCAUGCAGGUUCCCAUCAUUAUGCAUGAAGGACCAAACAUUCUUUGCUGGAAACCUCAUUCAUCAGGGAAGUGCACCUCUAAAAGUGCUUACAAAGUCUGCAUGCAAGAUAUGCAGCAACAAGGAGAGCCAUCGCCCAGACAGGUACAAAAUGAAAUUAAACAACUCUUAAAGCAGGUAUGGAAAGAAAAAGGAAUAGCUCCCAGGGUGCAAACAUUUGCAUGGAGACUUCUAAGGAAAGCUAUACCAACAGGCAUGAGAGCAGGGAAGUACUCUUCCCAUAUCACGAAACAUUGUUCUAGAUGUGAUCAAGAAGAAAAUGAUAUGCACCUUUUUUUACCUACCCCUUUGCAAAAGCUGCAUGGUUCUCAGAGAUAUGGUUUAUUAAAAUAG